GGAGAUGUAGCUCAGAAGGAGAGCACUUGCCUAGCACACGUGAGGUCCUGGGUUUGAUUCCCAGUACCACCA
rnacentral:tRNA from 1 species